rnacentral:rRNA from 1 species
GGCGAUGCUUCAUUCAAAUAUCUGCCCUAUCAACUUUCGAUGGUAGGAUAGAGGCUACCAUGGUUUUUGACGGGUAACGGGGAAUAAGGGUUCGAUUCCGGAGAAGGGAGCCUGAGAAACGGCUACCACAUCCACGGAAGGCAGCAGGCGCGCCAAAUUACCCAAUCCCGACACGGGGAGGUAGUGACAAUAAAUAACAAUAUAGGGCCCUUUUGGGUCUUAUAAUUGGAAUGAGUACAAUUUAAAUCCGUUAACGAGGAACAAUUGGAGGGCAAGUCUGGUGCCAGCAGCCGCGGUAAUUCCAGCUCCAAUAGCGUAUAUUAAAGUUGUUGCAGUUAAAAAGCUCGUAGUUGAACUUCAGACCUGACCGGGCGGUCCGCCUAACGGUGUGUACUUGUCUGGCCGGGCCUUUACCCCUUGGUGAGGCGGCAUGCCCUUCAUUGGGUGUGUCGGGGAAACCAGGACCUUUACCUUGAGAAAAUUAGAGUGUUCAAAGCAGGUUACGCCGGAAUAAUU